rnacentral:lncRNA from 1 species
CCCGAAGCUCCCAAAGCAUUGAAGGCCAUUAAAGCAGAUACUAAAUUUCACUGAAGCCAUUAGCGACAUUAAUGAAGACGGUGUAGAGGUCGUAGGCAUUAUUAAUGUAAUGACUAUAUAAUGUAAAGUUUGGCAGGAAAUAUUGCUUUAUGUGUGCUUUUCUGCGAGUUAGGUAGUCCGGCACCCGACCUGGAUCCAAACGUACAGGGAUUGGUGAUGGCCGCCGCUCAAUCCCAGCCCGGAUUAUCCUUUGCUACUGGUGCUACCGGUGUCACCAAUCGGCCAUAGCAUUACGGUAAUAGUCGUCAGGAAAUGCCCGGUAUUCCGUGGCCUAUCCAGCUUUGGUAUGACCCGCCAGCUAAAGAGGUUC